rnacentral:lncRNA from 1 species
GCUUCAGACACUGAUCCUCCCGGUGGAAGUGCACCUUCUUUCCCUCCUUUGGAAGAUUAUUAAGGUGGAGGACUGGCAUGAGAGGGGUAAGAGGUCCGAGUGAGGCGGUGAUGGUUCCA